CAGUCGCCGCGGGAAUACGUAGGGUGCGAGCGUUAAUCGGAAUUACUGGGCGUAAAGCGAGCGCAGACGGUUACUUAAGCAGGAUGUGAAAUCCCCGGGCUCAACCUGGGAACUGCGUUCUGAACUGGGUGACUAGGGUGUGUCAGAGGGAGGUAGAAUUCCACGUGUAGCAGUGAAAUGCGUAGAGAUGUGGGGGAAUACCGAUGGCGAAGGCAGCCUCCUGGGAUAACACUGACGUUCAUGCUCGAAAGCGUGGGUAGCAAACAGGAUUAGAUACCCCGGUAGUCCCUGUCUCUUAUAC
rnacentral:rRNA from 1 species